GACGAACGCUGGCGGCGUGCUUAACACAUGCAAGUCGAACGGAAAGGCCCUGCUUUUGUGGGGUGCUCGAGUGGCGAACGGGUGAGUAACACGUGAGUAACCUGCCCUUGACUUUGGGAUAACUUCAGGAAACUGGGGCUAAUACCGGAUAGGAGCUCCUGCUGCAUGGUGGGGGUUGGAAAGUUUCGGCGGUUGGGGAUGGACUCGCGGCUUAUCAGCUUGUUGGUGGGGUAGUGGCUUACCAAGGCUUUGACGGGUAGCCGGCCUGAGGGGGUGACCGGCCACAUUGGGACUGAGAUACGGCCCAGACUCCUACGGGAGGCAGCAGUGGGGAAUAUUGCACAAUGGGCGGAAGCCUGAUGCAGCAACGCCGCGUGCGGGAUGACGGCCUUCGGGUUGUAAACCGCUUUCGCCUGUGACGAAGCGUGAGUGACGGUAAUGGGUAAAGAAGCACCGGCUAACUACGUGCCAGCAGCCGCGGUGAUACGUAGGGUGCGAGCGUUGUCCGGAUUUAUUGGGCGUAAAGGGCUCGUAGGUGGUUGAUCGCGUCGGAAGUGUAAUCUUGGGGCUUAACCCUGAGCGUGCUUUCGAUACGGGUUGACUUGAGGAAGGUAGGGGAGAAUGGAAUUCCUGGUGGAGCGGUGGAAUGCGCAUAUAUCAGGAGGAACACCAGUGGCGAAGGCGGUUCUCUGGGCCUUUCCUGACGCUGAGGAGCGAAAGCGUGGGGAGCGAACAGGCUUAGAUACCCUGGUAGUCCACGCUGUAAACGGUGGGUACUAGGUGUGGGGUCCAUUCCACGGGUUCCGUGCCGUAGCUAACGCUUUAAGUACCCCGCCUGGGGAGUACGGCCGCAAGGCUAAAACUCAAAGGAAUUGACGGGGCCCCGCACAAGCGGCGGAGCAUGCGGAUUAAUUCGAUGCAACGCGUAGAACCUUACCUGGGUUUGACAUGGAUCGGGAGCGCUCAGAGAUGGGUGUGCCUCUUUUGGGGUCGGUUCACAGGUGGUGCAUGGCUGUCGUCAGCUCGUGUCGUGAGAUGUUGGGUUAAGUCCCGCAACGAGCGCAACCCUUGUUCACUGUUGCCAGCACGUUAUGGUGGGGACUCAGUGGAGACCGCCGGGGUCAACUCGGAGGAAGGUGGGGAUGACGUCAAGUCAUCAUGCCCCUUAUGUCCAGGGCUUCACGCAUGCUACAAUGGCUGGUACAGAGAGUGGCGAGCCUGUGAGGGUGAGCGAAUCUCGGAAAGCCGGUCUCAGUUCGGAUUGGGGUCUGCAACUCGACCUCAUGAAGUCGGAGUCGCUAGUAAUCGCAGAUCAGCAACGCUGCGGUGAAUACGUUCCCGGGGCU
rnacentral:rRNA from 1 species